rnacentral:miRNA from 1 species
GGGGAUGGGCUGGCGCGCGA